AUCUUCGUGGUGCAGUGGUAGCACACGUCCCUGGUAUGGAGGAAACGUGGGUUCUAUUCCUGCCUUAGGUU